UUUUAGUGUGAAUAAAUUCUGUAGUAAUCUUGGUACCUUUGAGUAUCUUUAAAAUAUGUUCAAAUUACUCAUCCUUAAAUGAAUCCCUUUCAGUGUCCUAUAUUAAUCAAAUUACACAAGAAAUGCUAUUUUCAGGUUUAAUUCUAGAUUAAUACUGAACCUUCUUAUAUAAAUAACUAUCUCUUUCACUAUCUUCACUCCUUAACAUUAUCAAUCAUCAGGAAACUAUACUGAAAGUGUGUCUGUGAAAAGCUUGACCAAUAUAUUACUUUGCCAUUUGCAUAUGAAAAUUAGGGACCAACCUAUCUAGUAUGAGAAGGUUUUGUUGUUGUAUCUAAAUUUGCUUAAUGUUCUUAAAAUAUGGCAUAUUUCUUUAAACCACUCAACGAAAAUCCAAGGUUAGUGUUGCAAUCUUGUAUAUUUAUUAUUAUUACUUUUGUUCCAUCUGUUUUGUGAAAUUGGUGUAAGAUUUGAUGCUUAGGCAGUACUAAAUUGGAUGAAUGCAUAGCACAAGUCACAUGUUGUUUGUAAAGACAAUUGGAUGAUGUCCCUCUACACCCCCACUGGCACAUAAAAUUCUCAAAGCAGACGAGAGUCAAUUAAAAAAGAACAAGCUAGAAAAGAGAGGAAAGAUCUGGAUAAGAUGCUUGAAGAGAAUAGGAAGAGAUUAUGGUUUUCAAUGGAUAUUGGAUGUGUGGAGAUUGAGUUUUGGGUGAGAUGAGUGUGUGAUUUGUUUUGUGUGAGGUGUGUGCGCGUGCGCACGGGAGUAUUUUAAUCAAUUUUUCCCUAAUUACAUUUUCUUAGUUUAAUUA